rnacentral:rRNA from 1 species
GGACUACUAGGGUUUCUAAUCCUGUUUGCUACCCACGCUUUCGCACUUUAGUGUCAGUAUUGGUCCAGGAAGCCGCCUUCGCCACUGGUGUUCCUUCCGAUAUCUACGCAUUUCACCGCUACACCGGAAAUUCCACUUCCCUCUACCAUACUCUAGAUGCCCAGUAUCGAAUGCAAUUCCUAGGUUAAGCCCAGGGAUUUCACAUCCGACUUAAAUAUCCACCUACAUGCUCUUUACGCCCAGUAAUUCCGAUUAACGCUUGCACUCUCUGUAUUACCGCGGCUGCUGGCAC